ACUGGCAUAAAUUUCGAUGUUAGAUGCUCAGAAUUGCUUUUAGGGCUAGACUAAAUAUGUGUGCACAACCUCUAUCAGAACUGGUAGGCAAACGCGUUCCAAUCAUUAUUUGCGGGCCAUUCUGUAGCGAUCUGCCAAUAUGUAGAUAGUCAUUUUUAGAUAGCAGAAUGGUCCGUAAAAAGUUGCCAAAUUUCUGUAUUCCGAGGUUCGCUGAGCAUCAGACUUUUUGUGUACCUUCCUAAAUGUCCGAUAGUAAUUUUACCGUUUUCGGUUUGCUCUCACUCACUCAGCGUACCGAGAUAUUGGGCCCGAAACUGACCAUGAAAGUAGCGUGUUUACUGUUAGCGGCGUCAUUUUUAGCCUCCACCAGGCCUUGCUACGGGGGUGCGGGGAUCGUACAAUUCGGGAAAAAAAUCGGGAAUUGGCCAAGGGAAUCAGUCCACGAUUAGAUUCGCAUUUCCCCUCCACGGCCGACCAACCUCUCUGGUAGCAAACCCUUGCCUUUGGCAAAUGAUUAUUCUCCUUAUGAAACCAGCGUAGUCAGUCUGGUAUUGAGGCUAUCCAUUUUUUGUUUUGACAUACGUCACAUGCACGUGUAUGGCGACAAGCGACUACUUUCAGCUCUCACUACAGUGCUAAAAUCUCUGCAUCCCGGAAAGCUAAGAAAAGAGAAGGACGUGGUCGAGGAAAAGCCCAAGUCAAAAGUUGACCUAAGGCAGCGGUUGGACUACAGUAAGAGGCUAGGAGACUAUGUGGUCAAAAACAUCUAUGAGAAGAAACAGGACUACACUUUCAAAAAGAAAGGUGUUGAAGGCUGUCAUACACAGGCAUCGGGAGUUUUGUGGUGGCUAGGUGCUCCAAAAGCCUGACUUUCCAGGCCAGACAAUAAAACUGCAAUUGCACAGUACCGUUCAAGGUUUACAGGCUAGUAAACGAGUCUCGUUUGGAACUCUACUGUUUUCAUGGUCAUGUUUUCUCAUUUUUGUUAUGUUUUUUUUAGCAUACAUGCUUUAUAUGACAAAACUACAUGUAGUUUCUGUUUUGAACGUUUCAAAACUGCUGCUCCUAUUUCUCUUAGACACAAGAAAUGUGAAAAUAUAAAUAUUAAUUCAUGAACAUGCAACUUGAACAUGUUGGCAGUAGCCCAUAUACUUCAGGUUAAAUCCAGGUAGAUCCUGAUAUACUGAUUUUAUAUGACAGGCUAUAUUAUUAUGUUAAUAAGGACAAGUUCCCAUUGUAUAUCCAGUGGAUCAUUUUAUUCAUAAAUAUCCUGCCUACAUAUGUCAGAAACAAAUGCUGUUUUACAACAAUAUAUGUGUGUCCACCAAAGUUUUCCCUGCCUAUUUUUGAAAAUUACACAGAAAUGUAAUUGUAUAUUGAUAUAAAAUACAUGUCUAUCUUGCUGUAUAUCUAGUUCAAAGGAAUAUGAAAAUAAGGAUACUUAAUAUGUUCAAGGUUUCUAUUUGGCCUGUUGUAUAAACCAUGAAUAGGUAGAUAAAUUUAUACAGGUGAGGUAGAUAGAUGUCCGCAUUUGGUUGAAUGCACCUGUUAUAGUGCAAAUAAUGUGGAAACUGUGUAACACUGUUAUCAAGAUUGUUUUAUUUUAGCAGUAAAGCCUCACCCUAAUUCUAAUUCUAACCCCAAGCUUAACAAGAAUGGAUAACCCUAACAGUAAAAAGUUAGUAGAAUACAGAUUUAUAGAUCACUCUCUGGUUUAACGUCAGAUCAAUUUAGCAAUUGAACAUGUGGUGGCGAAAUAUCUUAACAGGAAAAUGUCCUAUGUAAUUAGUCUCAUCUUUAGAGGGAUAAGUCUGUCUUAUUUUGGUGACUGCACAGGCUGGAACCACCGCCACACUGAUCUCCCAAGAUGAUUCUUGUGGACCCAGCACGAAAACUGUCUGUACGCUGACAGUUGUAAGAUUCUGGGAGAAACAAAAUGCAUGUAAAUUGUAAUGUUAUAUUUUUUUUGUAUUAAAAGAUUGCAACAAGUACA